UUCUCUUGCAGUCUUUCCACAGAGCACUCGGGGGGGAAAAAACACAGCACUCUAUGUGAUACCGCCUGUACUGCUUUUGAUAUGUAUCCUCGUUCUUGUUUAUAAGUACAGACAUUCCAGGAUUGAAGAAGCUGUUCUCUCCCUGCGGAGAAAUGCAUCUAGGAAAAAGAGUUCAAAGAAGGUGAUUGGUGCAGCACAAAGUGAAAUUUAUAAAAAUCAAGGUGUGGUGACCUCCAAUGACCAAAGCACCAGCAACGUCUAUGAAGAAGUAGAUGUAGAAGUACACUACGAAAACUUGACCACAAGUGAAUAAAUCUACUGCAAUGAAAAUUUCCGUAAACCCAACAGAAGCUACAGUUCAGUCCAUAAAUAUUUGGACAGAGACAACUAUUUUCUAAUUUUGGUUCUUCAAAUGAAACAACUCAGAUGCAGCUGAAGGGACUCAAAAGUAAUUGGACAAAUUAAAUAGGUGAAAAUAAAAUGUUAAUUUCUAAUACAUGAUUGAAACCCUUUGCUGGCAAUUACACCCCCAAGUCUUGAACUCAUGGAUAUCACCAGUUACUAUGCUUCCUUCUUUUAAAUCUUCAACAAAUGAAAUGCACGCCCACUUGGGUUAACAUCAGGUCACCCACUUGGCCAUUCAAAAAUAUUCCACAUCUUUGGUUUAAUAAAUUCCUGGGUUGCUUUGUCUGCAUGUUUUGGGUCAUUGUCCAUCUGUACAAGUCUAUCUGCCCAAUUAAUUUGACUGCAUUUGGCUUGAUUUGAGCAGACAGUAUGUCUGAACACCUCAUAAUUCAAUUGGCUGCUUCUGUCCUGUGUCACAUCAUUAAUAAACACUAGUGUCCCAGUGCCACUGGCAGUCAUGCACGCCCAAGCACACUGCCUCUGCCGUGUUUUACAGAAGAUGUGGAAUGCUUCGGAUCAUAAGCCAUUCCACGCCAGCGUAGACUUGGAUAUCGAUACAUCUACGUCCUGGAGAGUGUUGUCACUUGGUUGGCUGUUUUGAAGGGGUUUUUCUUCACCAUGAAAUGAUUCUGCGAUCAUCUACCAAAGUUGUCUUCCAUGGACAUCCAAGUCUUCUUGCGUUGCUGAGUUUACCAGUGCUUUCUUUCUUUCUUUCUCAGGAUGUACCAAACUGUAGAUAUUAUCAUUUCAAACAUUGAAGUAAUUUCUCAGAUGGGUUUUUCUGUUUUCUCAGCUUAAGGAUGGCUUUUUUCACCUGCAUGGAGAGCUCCUUUGGCCAUAUGUUGUCUGUUCACUGCAAAAUAUUCCAAAUGCAAGCAUGACACAUCAAAUCAACUCCAGGCCCUUUAUCUGCUUAAUUAAUAAUGACAUAAUACAGGAAGUGCCCACACCUGCCCAUGAAACAGCCUUUUUGUUGUCCAGUUACUUCUGGUCCCUUUAUAAAGCGGUUGGCACAUGUUAAGAAGCUGAAACUCCAAAACUAUUCAUUCAAUUUGACUGUGGAUACCCUCAAAUGAAAGAGAGUCUACGCAUUAUGUCCAUGUCCACUGUAUAACUAUAAUUAGAAUAUGUUCUGGCAAAGAGGUAUAAAAACAAUUAUAAAUGGACCUAACUGGAAGUAGCACUUGCAUCUGUAGUUACUAGCUUUGAUUUUAAUUGCUUAGUGUUCAUAAAAAUAUCUGCUGUUUUUUUUAAUGUGAAAACCCAAUAAUGCAAAAUUUCCCAUGAUUUUUAAGUAAACAAAUACAAAAGUGGAACACAAUCAAAUUUGUUUACAUACAGUAAUAAAACAGUACAUUUAUUCAAUUUUAUAUAUUAGUUUUUUGUUUGGUUUAUUGUUUUGAACUAUUUAAAGAAGUCCCCACUUUGCUGAAAAUGUCAGUUUUAGACAUUUGGAGUCAAAAAUACAGCAGUGAAAAGUAAAAUGGUCAUGAUACACAGAAACAUCCAAAAACUUUCAACUUGAACAUUUGACAAAACUUUCAUAUUGUAUAAAUUAUCUUCCUUCACGUGCAAUAUUACUGGUUAGUGUGUCACAGUGAGCCCCCUGCUGGUGAUGUAUUAGUUUAACACUGAUUAUUAGAGUAGGAAUAGAAGAUUACCUACGGUAUGCAUAUAUCCUAAUGACCUGUUAGUCACACGUUGUUAACAAAUGAGUGCUUGUUUGCAUAAUUAGUCCCUUUGUCUAUCUGCUUUCUAAACACCAAGAUGGCAAAAACCCCGUGUUAUUGGACUGUUUACUAAUUUGUACCACUGUGUCUUUUUCAUGUUAACAUCAGUCCUACAUAAGAAAAUCAUGGUAAUGACACAAUGCGCCUGUUCUGUUUGAGCAAUGAUGCUGAACUGUUUAUUAAUUAAUACAAAGCUCUCCAGGCUUUUGACUGUCUUAUUUUGUUGUUCUGUAAAAUAAGCUUCUCUGUGUAAGCUUAUUGGCUCAAUUAGCUCUUUCAAAACUUUUUGAUAUACAACAUUUUUCAAAUCUACUAAAUGCAUUUUAUUUGCAAGCAGCUUAGUAUAUGUUUAAUAAA